rnacentral:rRNA from 1 species
CAGCAGCCGCGGUAAUACGUAGGUGGCAAGCGUUGUCCGGAUUUAUUGGGCGUAAAGCGAGCGCAGGCGGUUUCUUAAGUCUGAUGUGAAAGCCCCCGGCUCAACCGGGGAGGGUCAUUGGAAACUGGGAGACUUGAGUGCAGAAGAGGAGAGUGGAAUUCCAUGUGUAGCGGUGAAAUGCGUAGAUAUAUGGAGGAACACCAGUGGCGAAGGCGGCUCUCUGGUCUGUAACUGACGCUGAGGCUCGAAAGCGUGGGGAGCGAACAGGAUUAGAUACCCUGGUAGUCCACGCCGUAAACGAUGAGUGCUAAGUGUUGGAGGGUUUCCGCCCUUCAGUGCUGCAGCAAACGCAUUAAGCACUCCGCCUGGGGAGUACGACCGCAAGGUUGAAACUCAAAGGAAUUGACGGGGGCCCGCACAAGCGGUGGAGCAUGUGGUUUAAUUCGAAGCAACGCGAAGAACCUUACCAGGUCUUGACAUCCUUUGACCACUCUAGAGAUAGAGCUUCCCCUUCGGGGGCAAAGUGACAGGUGGUGCAUGGUUGUCGUCAGCUCGUGUCGUGAGAUGUUGGGUUAAGUCCCGCAACGAGCGCAACCCUUAUUGUUAGUUGCCAUCAUUUAGUUGGGCACUCUAGCGAGACUGCCGGUGACAAACCGGAGGAAGGUGGGGAUGACGUCAAAUCAUCAUGCCCCUUAUGACCUGGGCUACACACGUGCUACAAUGGGAAGUACAACGAGUUGCGAAGUCGCGAGGCUAAGCUAAUCUCUUAAAGCUUCUCUCAGUUCGGAUUGUAGGCUGCAACUCGCCUACAUGAAGCCGGAAUCGCUAGUAAUCGCGGAUCAGCACGCCGCGGUGAAUACGUUCCCGGGCCUUGUACACACCGCCCGUCACACCACGAGAGUUUGUAACACCCGAAGUCGGUGAGGUAACCUUUUUGGAGCCAGCCGCCUAAGGUGGGAUAGAUGAUUGGGGUGAAGUCGUAACAAGGUAGCCGU